UACGUAGGGUGCAAGCGUUGUCCGGAAUUAUUGGGCGUAAAGAGCUUGUAGGCGGUUUGUCGCGUCUGCUGUGAAAUUUCGGGUCUCAACCCCGAACUUGCAGUGGGUACGGGCAGACUAGAGUGUGGUAGGGGAGACUGGAAUUCCUGGUGUAGCGGUGAAAUGCGCAGAUAUCAGGAGGAACACCCGUGGCGAAGGCGGCUCUCUGGGACGGUACUGACGCUGAGACGCGAAAGCGUGGGGAGCGAACAGG
rnacentral:rRNA from 1 species